rnacentral:rRNA from 1 species
GUCCGUGCCCUAAACGAUGAUUACUGGAUUUGGGAGUAUCGACCCUCCCAGAGUCGUUCAAAUAAGCUAACGCGUUAAGUAAUCCGCCUGGGGAGUACGGCCGCAAGGCUAAAACUCAAAGGAAUAGACGGGGACCCGCACAAGCGGUGGAACAUGUGGUUUAAUUCGACGGUAAGCGAGGAACCUCACCAAGGCUUGACAUGUAACUGCAAAUCUCCUGAAAGGGAGACUCCUUCGAGGGUGUUACACAGGUGCUGCAUGGUUGUCGU